GAAAGAGGCACUAUGGACUAGGGAUUACUUGCUGGCUACCAACAACUGAAAAUAUGAGACAUGGAUUGACAUGGAAACAAGAGAAAGAAGAAACAAAAAUAAGCAUUAUAGACUAGAUGAUGAGAAAAGUGGUUUCUCUCAGUGCAAUAUGCUUAGUUGAUGGAGCAUGCUCCUGGGACAUACCAGGCUAAAGUGAUGUUCCAGAGUACACAUGGAAAGUGACUUGAUGGAAGUCAACGACAUGAUUUGCUUAAGAUCACGGAAGCUUGGGUUGAUGGAGU